rnacentral:pre_miRNA from 1 species
GCAUAAUUGUUUGCGAAUUGGAGUCCACCAUGGGAAUACUUGUAAUUCUUCUUUUAAGCUGCCCGUGUGCGUACCUCCUCUUCAUUUUCAUCAAGAAAGUAUGGUGGACUCCAAUUCGCAUACAAUCAAUGA